rnacentral:misc_RNA from 1 species
AGCUUUGUCAGAUGUCGAAGCGCAUAUUGGAAUAGAUGCCAUUCUUCCAGCAGCGGAGUUUGGUAUCGUCUUUGCUCGUGAACCAUCAGAUGUUGGGAGAGUCUCCGAGGUCGCCAUUACCGCUUUGGGCGCGUGGCUGCCGCUGUUGUUCCGAGGAACUUCAGUCUGAGGACUAAUCUUGGCAUCAGAGAUUUCGAAGUCCUGGGCUCCGAUUGUGGGCGAAUUUCCGGUCUUUACGAGACCGUGUGGCUAACGACGGGGUUUACCACGUCGUUGGUCGAAUAUUUUGCUAUUUGUUGAUUGAAAAAGUAUAUCGAUCCUUGGUUUGGUGCAGGCUGGCCAUUCCUAUCAUCUGGAUCAACCACAACUCUCAGUGGUGGAUCACUCGGUUCGCGCUUCGAUGAAGAACGCAGCAAAAUGCGACAAGCCGCGUGAAUUGCAGACUUUGCAAUCGCUGGCUCUUUGAACGCACAUGGCGGUCGGAGGGGCUCUGCCUUUUCGACCGUAUCUGGAUCAGGGUUCAUCGUUCAUUUAUCUUGUCGCCACGCGGCAAUGACACUG